GAUGUACCAGUCUUACCGGAGUUAUCGAUCCCCGACUCGAUCCAACGACUGCGAAUAUUUUAGAUUGGAACUAUCAAGAUUUUAGAUCUCACUGGCAUGAUCUCAUCAUAGUCCUAAAAUCAUUGUCCUAAUCUAUGGGGUUUAUCAUAAUCAUAUAAAAAUGAUGUAGCAAAUGAUAAAACAUAAUACCUCAUAUAAAUAAAAUAACUAAUGUCAUGCAAAUGAGCAGGAAGAUAAUAAUGAAAUGUCCCAUCACAUCUCCAUGCGAUUAGCUUGUAGGGUAUUAUUCUUUCAUUAUAGUGCUUCGAGUUCCAUAUAUAAAUUUGUGCUUAGUAACUAUACAGCAUUCGAAGAUGUCUGCAGCUUUAGAUUUUCAGCUUUUUGUGUGUGUGUGAGAGAGAGAGAGAGAGAGGUAUUUUUUUUAAGUUUUUUGUAUUGCUCUUUCCUGAGAAAAAGAAACUGCUGUUUGAGGGUCACUGGCAUGCUACAUCUAUCUGUCAAAUAUUGUUAAUUAGGUGAAAACGCGUCCUCCUCAGGAUUAAGCACUUCGAAUUUACUAAUGAAAAGGCAGUGAAAUAGCAUAACAAUGAAUAAAAUGCUAGUUCUACCCACAACUUCAGUUUUCUUUUGGCUUAGGAAUUCUAUUUAAAAAUUACAUCUCUAUUCAUCAGAAGCUUCUGUUCAGUGU
rnacentral:lncRNA from 1 species